UAAAUGUGAGAAAAUAAACUGAAUGUUAAAAAAUCAGUUUCACCAUCAUUUUUUGGUCUUUAUAAAAAUAUGUGACAGCUUCAUGCCCAAAUUAGACUUAUUAGAUAUUUUAGGGAAAUGUGCAUUUAGAAUGAAAACUAAGUAAUAAAAAAAAAAAGCUGGAAAUAGGAGGUUCAAAUUAAUGUUACUUUAUUGACCGCGCGUUUAUACACACACAUAUAUAUACAUUAGACACAAAGUCUUUAUUGUAAAACUGGCACAAAAAUAAAAGUGCGGUGUGAUCAAUCUGACUUUUUAUUAAAAAAAUUAGUUCAAAUUUUUCUCUAUACUCUUGCCGAAUGACGAGCAUCAAAUACAGCAGUGGACAGCAAACAAAACACAAGGCUCUCAAUAAACAAUAUAUAUUUAAAAGCUUUAAAUACAUUUCUUUAUUCAACCCCAGAUGCUUGUUGGCAAUAAAGUACAUCUUAAGAGACAAUGAAAUAACAUUUUUUUUUUGGUGUUUUUAAAAUAUCAAUGUUAACCCAUAUUACAACAAAAUCUUUGUUUCUGAGGUUUUGUUAUACACCAGAAAAACAACAGAUGAACAGGCCUGGUCUUUGAGCCAAACGCAAGCAGAUUUUUCUCCUGCGCCGUCAAUCUGCAAGAGGAGAUGAAGACAGAGGAAAUGAGAAAUUAGAGAUAAAAAACUGGGUGUGGAAUAAAAAGACAGAGUGAAAUUGUCAUAUUUUUCUUCACAGGCAGGGUUGAAGCAGAUUUGGACUACAUUAACAAAAAAAAGGGGCGGGGUAUGACGAGGGGGAGACUCCCUCCUCAUGACUACUAAUAUCUGUCUGUGUUCUAGUCUGCACUCCUUCACCUUUGACCUCCAACGUCUGGAGCGUCAAAAGGGCACAGAGUCAACAGGGAACUCUGCAAUUAUGCUAAACACACACACACACACACACACACACACACACACACACACACACACGCGUUUGGUUUUGCACUGUCAUGUCUGAACAUAAAAAAAACCAACAAGCAGAGGAACGAGAAUUAAUCUGAACGUGUCCAAACUUUUAAUCGUUACCAUAAAUUCAAAUGGGAAACCCACCACCUUCACAAAGUUAAAAUUUUCAACAAAAACCUUCUGCAAAAUCAAAAAUCGCUUAAGAUUUGAUAGAUUUGAAAUGCUAGUGUCUUGGUUCAGUACAGAUGGGGCGGCAGAAAAAUCAAGGUGUGCGUGGGCUGUGAAGAGGAGGAGGAAGAGGCUAGUUAUGACUGAAGCGAUCAGAGCUAGACUGCAGUCCCUGGGUAGAUCCAGGGCUUCAGACACUGGGCAAUUGAGGGGGCCUUCCUGAGCCUGUAGGGCUCUCCAGGGCUCUUCUCCUGCCUACGCUGUCCCAACAACCAGAUAAUGUAUGCAGAGGGGAGCCUACAGUCCUGUCUCCAAUAACCACACACACACAGACACACACACAGAAGAAUAUAACUGCAUUCCUGCCAAAGACAUCAGAGCUGGAGCGACCAGAGAAAGCUAUCAGGCUGACUUUUAUUUGAUUAAAAUGCAACUCUGAUCUUUUUUAUAAUUAGCAAUUGGUAAAAAUUGUGGAACGAAGGAUGGGGGCUUAAUGCAUUACUGCAAUCCUUAAAAUGAUUCAGCAACUUUAUGCUUGGAUCCAAAAAUAUAAAUAUGAGGCAUAGAAAGAUGGACAGGCACAGGAAGUGAUGGACUUUUUCCAGCUGAGAGGCAUGCUAACAUAAUAUUCUAGCUUGUCUUUGUUUCUCCUACCUCUGUCCUUUGUACAGUCUUGUAAUCCACAAAAACUACAAAGGGUUUCAUGUAUUUGUGAGGAAGUAACUCUAGAUCUUAGAAAAUAAUAUUACAUUGCAUAUGUUCAUGGUAUAUUGCUAAGUCACACUGACUCUAUCAGAAAAACCAGUCCAUUUAGGAAGUAAUUGGGAAUUGACCUCAAACCUUGAGAAUAGGCUGUUGUUUAGGUCAAUACGCGAGACACCUAACGAUGUGCGAUGAAUGCGGCUGAUUGCAGAGGGGAAGAGUUUUAACUCUCGUGUCUUAUGUUUAUCAAAGUUUAUUUUAAUCAAUCGGAGAAUUCAGUCGACACCGCUGUGAAAACUUCAAAAGAAGAGCGUCUUCGAGUAGCAAGCGUGCAAACCUCAUAUCAGCAAAAGCAUGUAACGCUGAUUUAUCGCGUUUGACAAAAUGUUCAGCUCUGGCGUCACGAGAGCUUGCCUUUGAGAACAUCUGAGGCUUAACUUGGUCAAAAACACUAAAUGCCAGCUCUGACAUUCAACUUCUCCAACCUCUCCUAUGUGCAGGACACACUUUUCCCCAAAUUCUUCCUAUUUUCCCAAGAACAAGGUCACCCUUUAAAGGAUGUUCUCAUGGAAAAGAGUUAAAUCUUCUUCCAUAGAGACGGAGUGAAUGUGUGUGUUUGUGUGUGUGUGUCAGAGUGGAUAAAGUAAGAGAGGCAUAAAUAGAGAAAAAGCCUGCAUUUGGAUGAGGAGGGUGUAUGUAUGGGUAGGUGUAAAGUGGACUCUCUCCCUCUAGUUCCCUGCUUUCUAUAUUCAACCCCACCUUCCCCGACACACACACACACACACCCUAAUGCUGACAUUGUGUCCGUCCAACAAAGACGUCCCUGCAGCCCCCUCAUUAUAAAUACAUGUCAUUGGAUCACAGCUCGUCUGAAUCCCCGAGUCUGCUGCGCUCUAAGUGGCCGUGACUGAGCCCUGAAUGGGUGGCCGAGUGACAGCUAACCCAAUAGAGCCAGCGGUGUGAGUGAGUGUGCGAGUAGCCUCAGCCUAUGGGAAUGAAAGCAUCGCAGCAGGACGAGGUCAGAGGUCAGGGGCUGUCUGUUACGUGUGAGGAUGCGAAUAUACACACAUGAAGUUUUCAGAGUGUCGGGCAUGCUGCUUAUAAUUAAGAAUUGGUGGCAAAAAAAGGGGGACAUGAAUCUGUGACGAGGACAGUUUUGAGAUGAAUUCAUGAAAAGUGCGUUAACGGUUAGCUGCUGCAUGCAUGCAGGAGGUUUGCUUUAAAUCUAGGGCAAUAAGUUUCCUGCUGCCUCAACAACAAAGCUGCAGAAAUCUCGUCCUGGUUCACUUAGAAGCAGAGAACAAGGUGUGUGGGUUUGCAUGCGUACUUGCGUGUGUGCGUGUGUGUUUGAAGGGCUCAUCCUAUCGCAUUUUGCAGGGAAAUGCAAAAGUGUCUCUAUCCCUCUGGAACCACAAACCAGGACAAGUACAGUGUCGUACUCUCAUUCCUCCUCCCUCUCUUCUAUUUCUGAGUAAAAGCUUGCAUUUCUCCCCAGGUAUAACAAAGUUUCCCUCACUCUACUUUCACUUGCGUCUUGAACCACUAGAGAUAUGACCCUAAAGUCCACCACAAAUUAAUAUUUAAAGAGUAACUAAUCACCAGCAGGUAAGCUGAACAUGAACGCCAAGCCUUAAUCAUUGUUGCCUCAUUUCGCCGAGCCAAUGAAUGAUGUGAGCCCAGAGGUUAGUGUUUCAAAUUAAAAUGUGUGCUUUCUCUCAGUUUUCUUUCUUUAUAACACCUUUUUGAGAGUGAGCGUACAUAUGUCUGACAUCCCACCACCAUCCAGCACGUUGCAUAUAUACACACACAUAUAUAUAUACACACACACAUAUAUAUACAUAUACAUAUACACAUAUACAUAUACAUAUACAUACACAUAUACAUAUAUACAUAUACACAUAUA
ensembl:lncRNA